CAUAAUCUCUGAGGAGAAAAGCAGGGGAUCGCAAGACCUUGCGCUUUUAGAGCGGCCGAUGCCUGAUUAGCUUGUUGGUAAGGUAAAAGCUUACCAAGGCUUCGAUCAGUAGCUGGUCUGAGAGGACGGCCAGCCACACUGGGACUGAGACACGGCCCAGACUCCUACGGGAGGCAGCAGUGGGGAAUUUUGGACAAUGGGGGCAACCCUGAUCCAGCCAUGCCGCGUGAGUGAAGAAGGCCUUCGGGUUGUAAAGCUCUUUCAGCCGGAACGAAACGGUUACGGUUAAUACCCGUGACUAAUGACGGUACCGGAAGAAGAAG
rnacentral:rRNA from 1 species